AGAGUUUGAUCAUGGCUCAGGACGAACGCUGGCGGCGCGCUUAACACAUGCAAGUCGAGCGAGAACCAUCCCUUCGGGGAUGGGGAAAGCGGCGAACGGGUGAGUAACACGUGGGUAAUCUGCCCUCGGUUCCGGGAUAGCCCGGGGAAACCCGGAUUAAUACCGGAUGGCCUCUCGAGCCCUCGAGCUCCCGAGAAAAGGUAGCUUCGGCCUCCGACCGAGGAUGAGCCCGCGGCCGAUUAGCUUGUUGGUGGGGUAACGGCUCACCAAGGCGACGAUCGGUAGCUGGUCUGAGAGGAUGAUCAGCCACACUGGGACUGAGACACGGCCCAGACUCCUACGGGAGGCAGCAGUCGGGAAUCUUGCGCAAUGGGCGAAAGCCUGACGCAGCAACACCGUGUGGGCGACGAAGGCCUUCGGGUCGUAAAGCCCUGUUGUUGGGGACGAAGGGCGAAGGGUUAAUAGCCCCUAGCUUGACGGUACCCUUCGAGGAAGCCCCGGCUAACUACGUGCCAGCAGCCGCGGUAAUACGUAGGAGGCAAGCGUUAUCCGGAGUUACUGGGCGUAAAGCGCAUGUAGGCGGUUGGGCAAGUUGAGUGUGAAAGCUCCCGGCUAAACUGGGAGAGGACAUUUAAGACUGCCCGGCUAGAGGAUGGUAGAGGGGCACAGAAUUCGGGGUGUAGCGGUGAAAUGUGUAGAGAUCCCGAGGAAUACCAGUGGUGAAGACGGUGCCCUGGGCCGUACCUGACGCUGAGAUGCGAAAGCGUGGGGAGCGAACGGGAUUAGAUACCCCAGUAGUCC
rnacentral:rRNA from 1 species